AGUGGCGGACGGGUGAGUAACGCGUGGGUAACCUGCCUCAUACAGGGGGAUAACAGUUAGAAAUGGCUGCUAAUACCGCAUAAGACCACGGAGCCGCAUGGCUCAGUGGGAAAAACUCCGGUGGUAUGAGAUGGACCCGCGUCUGAUUAGGUAGUUGGUGGGGUAACGGCCUACCAAGCCACGAUCAGUAGCCGACCUGAGAGGGUGACCGGCCACAUUGGGACUGAGACACGGCCCAA
rnacentral:rRNA from 1 species